rnacentral:lncRNA from 1 species
GGGGUCAUCCAUAAUUGUCAACCAUUUUCCAAAGUGUACAAAACGUACACUUUUUCAGACCCCCCACCCUCCCUCAAAAAGUGUACAUGAACCAUUUUCAGAUUUCAAGAGAAGAAUCAGUCAUUCUUAAUAAAAAGAAGAUCCUGUCUAUUAUAUUUUAGUUUAAUAUAGAAAUUUGCAUUGAAAAAAAACUAAAACAUAUCUGACUUUUUUAUUUGAUGACAUCUAUGAUGCUUGUGUUUUGUCAGAAUAAAGAGUACAAAAAAUAGUGUUUCCCCUAUCACACAGUGGGAAUGGUAACUCCAAUAAAAAAAGGGCACCUAGAGCAUGCAAAAGAUUAUCAAAAGGGCACAUAAAUUAUGCUAAGAAUCGAAGAAAGGGAAAUGCAUGGUUAUAUUGCAUUUGUAAAGUAUGGACUGACAGUUGUUGAUGGAAUCAAAGCUCAAGACAGUAAUCAAUAAAAGUGUAAUAUUUUAAAACAUUUUGAGUUUUUAAUUUUCCCGCCUGUAUAUUUCUAUUUACAUGAUUUAAAAGGUCCCUGUAAAUAUGCCAUUCAUGGCACUAUUAUCGUUUAUGUAUAUAUACUGUAACGUGUACAUAUAUUGGAUAUUUUUUAAGUUAAGUUUUAACUUCAUAUGGAGGUGCUCCUAAUUAAAGGAGGCUUAUACUAAGAAAAAAUCAGUUUACUUCCGGUUUACUGGUUGACUAUUUUGGAAUGCAUUACAAGGAAAUUAAUCGAAGGACCAGUUUAAAAUCUUUUCACAAAAUGACGUCUUGUCAAAAUCAAAACAUUCAAAGAAUUUAGCAUGUUAGUGUUUCCAUCAAUUUUGUUUAUUAAACAGAGUAAAACGAUAUCGAUCAAUAAUAAAGCAGGUGAAAAAGACAAUCAGGGGUACUGAGAAAUGCUUGCAAACUUUUUGUUUAAAUAAUUUUACUAGUUCAUAUUUUUGAAAGAUUUAGUUUUCAUAUGAUUUGAUCUUGUAAUCGUUCAAUCCCGAAGAGUAGAAUUAUGAUAUCGAAAUCAAUAUCAUCAAGUAAAAAUAAUAAAGAAGAAAUUAGAAGAGAAACACACCCAAGCCAAUUCUCGUUUUUAUAAAUCAACUUUCCCUACGGAAACGAUAUAAAUUCCGGAAAUAAAAAAAAAAGCGUACGGUAAAAAUGUUGAUUUUUUAACCCCCUCCCCCCAAGUGUACGUUUUGUACACUUUGGAAAAUGGUUGACAAUUAUGGAUGACCCCUUAAA